UACGUAGGGUGCAAGCGUUAAUCGGAAUUACUGGGCGUAAAGCGUGCGCAGGCGGUUAUGCAAGACAGAGGUGAAAUCCCCGGGCUCAACCUGGGAACUGCCUUUGUGACUGCAUAGCUAGAGUACGGCAGAGGGGGAUGGAAUUCCGCGUGUAGCAGUAAAAUGCGUAGAUAUGCGGAGGAACACCGAUGGCGAAGGCAAUCCCCUGGACCUGUACUGACGCUCAUGCACGAAAGCGUGGGGAGCAAACAGG
rnacentral:rRNA from 1 species